CCUCCGCAGCCGUGUGGGGCAGGGCGGCGCGGCCGGCCUCGGGCUCUCGGAACGGCGGGAGCGGCAGGUGCCCCCGCGCCGGCUCGGAACGCAGUGCGCGGAAGCGGCGCCUCAAAAGCUUUGGAGAAGCUAUCCUAAUAAUUUCUGGGAUAAUGGUCCCAUUAAACAGCAAAUACACAUAUGGUGCUGAAGCCUUCUUUCUCUGAAAAAGGUCAUUUUCCCUGGUGAUGGGCUCAACUGGAGCAUUAAUGAACAGAAAGACAAGAGCUCCAGCUGAGAAGGUGCUGUUGACA